UAAAUCUGUAAGGCCGGUGGAGUUGAUCUCAUUAAGGAGAAUGAAACAUCACUAUUGGACUGCAUGACUUCUGUUAAAACCUGAAGUGCUUCUAAUGAUAGGUUGCUGAUACUGUGGCUGCCAUUUACCCACCAGAUCCCAACCAAACACUAACAUUUCAAGAAACACUUGGAGACGUACAGUUCCUCACCCAAGAUGCCAUUCAAAGCUGGAUUAGAACUGACUGAAUUACAGAAUAUGACUAUUCCUGAAGAUGAUAACAUCAGCAAUGAUUCAAAUGAUUUCACAGAGGUGGAAAAUGGCCAGAUAAAUAGGACAGAUCUGCUAAGCUGUUCAGCAGACUUGGAUCUGUACCUGUGAUGAUGCUCUCAGGAAGCUGCUGGCUGGAUGCUUGUCCUAGUCUGCAGCUGUGGGUAAGUUAUGAGCGCUCCUUGUUUGGUUGACAAGGUUGCUGGUAGCUAUACCCAGAUCUGGUCAAAGUUUCAUAGUGUAAGCCAGAGCAAGCUUUCUUCUGCAUUUCUUGUUCCUGCUUGUCCUGGAAAUCUUUGCCAUCGCUCAAGCUGCAGCUCCGUUUAAGAAACCGCCUGAGGAUAGAGUUCUGUCAUCUUGGCAAAAUGAGCCUUCCCUAACAAAUGUUUAAGGCAUUGUCAAGUAUCACUUUAAGUUAAUUAUGUUUAAACAUAUCUGAGAUGGCUAAAUGGUUUUAACUCUGCUUAGCCAAAAUGGUUAGCUCCAGGAUAUCACCUUUAUCAAAUAUUUCUCAUUUAAGUCCUUUAAUAAAUUAAAUUUGGAGACUGUGGUUAAGUACAGUCCUUUUAAAACCACUUUAUCAAUAAGACUGAGUUUCUGCUUUUCACUAAAACAAGGCAUAAAAAUAAUUGGAUUACAGAAUUCUUUCCAAGCCAACCGUGAGGCUUCUUUCAUCACAAGGAUGAGCUGAUCAUCUUUUGACCAGGAUAUUCUAUAAAUGCAUCUGAAAAGUUUUGCAUGAACUGUUCGUGCUUGACUGUGAUGUAGAAAGCACACCAGGAAAUCAGAAACAUAGAAGAAUGAGUUAUGAUUGUGUAUGAGGAGUAGAGCAUUCAAAAUGAAGACAACGAACAGCCCAAAUGGAUUUCAUGCUUGUCAGGGGUCACAGGGCACUGGAGGCAUGGGCUGCCUCACCAUGCAUUUCUGUAGGACCUGUCACUGGCUCUAAUCCUUCUGUGGGCUGGGAGGAUCCUCAGCAAACAGUCAUAUUGCUUUGUUCAAGUCAGAUUUAUAAAGCUCAAUAUACAUCGUUAUGACAGUGAGUAGCUUGCUUUCUAAGCGCAUCUGUUGAGCAGAGCAGAUGCAAGGCAUGAUUUAAUAAGAAAUUAUAGUAUUCCAGUCUAUGUUCUCCUUUACAUACCGUAGUAAAAAACAUCCUGAAAUUAGAUUUAAAAAA